UUGAACUAAAACAGCUAAAACAGUCAUCAUUUUUUACAAUAAUUAUAACAAUAACUGUUUUCAAUCAUAUUCCUAAAUAAAGUUCACAUAUUAAUAAUACAGUUGUAACAAUUGUUCAGGUGAUUAGAUCUUUCUUCUCUCCUGCACUUUUCAACUGAGUUAUAAAUAAUAUGAGGGAGGAGGGACUCAGUGUUCAUAUGAUCUUGUGUCUGACAGAGACUGUGGAUGAAUCGAUUCAGUCUGACUCUUCUCAGAGUGAACACUUGAACAAUGGAUCUUCAUUCAGUUAUUCUGCUCUGUGUCUCAGCUGCUGCUGUCUUUGGAAAUGUCAUCAAACCAGAACAGCUAGAUGUUUUUGCUGAAGAGGGUUCAAGUGUUACGUUAUCCUGUACUUUUUCUGACUCUGGAGUUACAAACUAUCUCCACUGGUACCGUCAGUAUGGAAGAUCAAAACCUGAAUUUCUUGUACUCACCAACAACAAAGCAAAAAUAGCUGAUGUGUCUAAGAUAGAUUCAAGAUUCUCUGUUAAUAUUCCAAAAAGUGAUCGUGUGGAUCUGAAGAUCUCCUCUGCUGCUGUAUCAGACUCUGCUCUGUACUACUGUGCUCUGCAGCCCACAGUGACAGGAAACACAUCAGCUCUCUACAAAAACCUGUUACACUGA